GCAGACUAUAGAGGUGAAGCAGAACAGGGGAUCAUGAUCAUGAGAACAGGAAUAAGUGAAGAACUUUUGAUUGGGUAUUUGAGAGUUCCUUGUUUGGUUGCUGAGAAACUGUUACUAUGUUGGUGCUAUUGGUGUCUAUGGAUAUGCAAUAAAUAUACAGCAGUAUUUAACUGAUUUGUGAGA